GAUCAACGCUGGCGGCGUGCCUCAGACAUGCAAGUCGAACGCGAACAUUUUCUUCGGAAGAUUAGUAGAGUGGCGCACGGGUGAGUAAUACGUAAGUUAUCUACCUUUAGGUUAGGGAUACCAACCGGAAACGGUUGCUAAUACCUAAUGAUACAACUUCCUAUUAAUAGUAGUUGUUAAAGCGAGGGGUAACUCUCGCGCCAAAAGAGGAGCUUACGGCAGAUUAGCUUGUUGGUAAGGUAAUGGCUACCAAGGCAACGAUCUGUAGCCGGCCUGAGAGGGCGGUCGGCCACACUGACACUGAAUAACGGGUCAGACUCCUACGGGAGGCAGCAGUCGGGAAUUUGGGCAAUGGGCGAAAGCCUGACCCAGCAACGCCGCGUGAAGGAUGACGUC
rnacentral:rRNA from 1 species